GAGACUCUAGCUCAGUUGGUAGAGCGCCGUGUUGAUAACGCGAAGGUCAUUGGUUCAAGUCCAAUGAGUCUCA
rnacentral:tRNA from 1 species